GGCGGGCGGUGCGGCCCCGCCUCACGGGGGGGCGGGAACGGCUCUGGCCCCCGUGAGGGGCAGAAAGAGCUCUGCCCCGGGUGAGGGCUCUGCCUCCCGUGAGAGGAAAUAACCAAAGAGCUCAAAACUGUGCUGGUGCCCCUCACCAGACUGCACAGCAGCAUCCGUCUGCGCAGGAGCACCUGAGGGCGCCGAGGCAUCAGAUGCAUCUUCAUUCUCACCAGAGAAUCAGGCAGCUACAACCAGCUCCAUUUCACUACCAGAACAUCCUCCAGCUGGACAGCAAACCCCAACCUUAGGAUCCAUUCUGCUUACGUAUACAAACCCAAGAUUUUACAGAAGCAACAAGAGAAGGAACUGUUUCCAGGAGAAUUAUCCUGGUUUAUAUUUAGCCUGGAUUGACCUAUUUCAGUGUGCAGUCAUAUGCACACCCUUCUACCUGGCCUCAUCCUCCCUGGGAGCUGCUGAGGGUUCCUGCACUCACAGAAUGCAACCUGCACGGAGAAACCUCUGAUGAACGACAGCAGGCAAGGAUUUUAUGUCUGAUUCAACAGGAAACCAAAAGAAAUCAAGUAGGAAAAGCAUAUGACACUAAAAUAUGCAAAUUAAGCCACUGUACUCCUGCCAACAAAGCUGAGAGGAUACACUCGGUAACUCCCCGGGGCACAUGAGAGCAGUGGGUGGUGGGGAUAUGGGUAACUUCAGAAUUCCCAAGGAAAUCCAGCUGGAAUGCCCCUGGAAAUCACCACAGCAUCUGCCUCACAUUGCCUAAGGGACUGACUUUCUAGCCUUCCUAGUACCAGCACCUGAAAACAGGUUUGUGCUUUGUAGUUGUACUGGGAUAAAUGAGCUUCUCAGGCAUAUUUAAGUGAAAACUACCCUUCCCCUUGGUUUGGUUGGUGUUUUUAGGGGUUUAUGGCUGUUUAUUGACAUCCAGGGCUGCCCCUCCCAAGAGCCACAAGCAGAAAAUGUAGCAUCUCUAACUAUACAGCUCCCAUAGAUAAAAAAGUUAACAAUUAUCUGAAAAUGUAUGGAAAAACAUGUGAGCCAGAGAUCCAAUUCAAAACUAUUCUACGAUUCAGUUAAUUUUGUCUCAAAGCAAAUAUUAAAACAGUAAGAAUCUAGAAAGAUGGGUGCUUUAUUCUGAAAUAAAGUUUUUAGAUCCCCUGAAGACAACAGCCCUAAACUACAGACAGGUUGUUCUCAGUUCAUUUUGAAAGACAAAACCCAAGAAGAACAACUCUGAGUUUCAGAAAGACUUACAGUAGUCUAUAUAUAUGUACUAUAUAUAUUUCACCAUCAUGACAACCAAUAGAAAGUUAUUGCCAAGCAAACAUUAUUUCAGGAUACAAAGACACUGCCAUUAUUAACAAGAUAUAUUGAAUAUUGGGUUUUAAUUUUCCUACUAUUUUUCCUUGCUUUCUUGUAGUGAGCCUGUUUGAUUACUGGUGUGUUUCCAGACAGGCAACACCCCACUGUGGCAACUUCCCUGGUUUGGAAUAUGUGGUGUCAUUUACAGCUUUGCUAUUCAUACCUGUAAUAUGUUGUUUGACUUUCUAGAUGAGAAUAAUUUCAUCUUAUCCCCAUAAAGGCUGUGAGAAAUCAUAUAAAGAGGACAGUACAAGUAAUCUUUAUCCAUUAUGAUUUAUUCUCUACAAUACUUCAUUAGAGGAUAGAGUUCAAUUAUUUACACUCAGAAAUUAUUAUAUAGGUAGGAGGCAACCAAGUGUAAUAUAAAGAAUUGGUCUGACGUCUCUGCACUGUAGGUCAAAAGAGGUCUCCUGCUUUAACGAAAUAAAUUAACCAAAAAACCCCCAACAAAACAACAUGUAGUUUCUGAAUACAAACAGAAAACAGCACUAAUAGUCAGUGAAGACUGCAGAAGUUUGUUAAUGUACUAUGAAAACAAAUCAUUCUGUGCAAAGGUUAAAAUGAACUCUUAGAUUUCCUUACAGGUUUUUUUUUUUUUGUUCUGAUAAGUUGUAGAUAUGUGAUAUUUUGACCACAUAACAUUCCCAAA